rnacentral:tRNA from 1 species
CCCCCGGUGGUGGAACGGUAUACACGACGGACUUAAAAUCCGUUGGCGCAAGCCUUACGAGUUCGAAUCUCGUCUGGGGGA